ACAUAAUAUUUCUGAUGAAUACGAUUCAAUCCAAUCCAUGUUUGAUCCGAAAGUGCGUCAGGACCAUUAUUGUGAAGUAACGCUAAACAUUUUAUACUGGGGUCUUCCCGAAAACUUUUUUUUCGAAAGCAGCUUUGCCUUAAUUUCUGA
ensembl:ncRNA F58A4.22 ncRNA